rnacentral:rRNA from 1 species
UGGGGAAUAUUGGACAAUGGGCGAAAGCCUGAUCCAGCCAUGCCGCGUGUGUGAAGAAGGUCUUCGGAUUGUAAAGCACUUUAAGUUGGGAGGAAGGGCAUUAACCUAAUACGUUAGUGUUUUGACGUUACCGACAGAAUAAGCACCGGCUAACUCUGUGCCAGCAGCCGCGGUAUUACAGAGGGUGCAAGCGUUAAUCGGAAUUACUGGGCGUAAAGCGCGCGUAGGUGGUUUGUUAAGUUGGAUGUGAAAUCCCCGGGCUCAACCUGGGAACUGCAUUCAAAACUGACUGACUAGAGUAUGGUAGAGGGUGGUGGAAUUUCCUGUGUAGCGGUGAAAUGCGUAGAUAUAGGAAGGAACACCAGUGGCGAAGGCGACCACCUGGACUAAUACUGACACUGAGGUGCGAAAGCGUGGGGAGCAAACA